rnacentral:rRNA from 1 species
GACGAACGCUGGCGGCGUGCUUAACACAUGCAAGUCGAACGGUAAGGCCCCUUCGGGGGUACACGAGUGGCGAACGGGUGAGUAACACGUGAGCAACCUGCCCUUGACUCUGGGAUAACAGUUGGAAACAGCUGCUAAUACCGGAUACGACCUUCGAUGACAUCAUCUAGAGGUGGAAAGCGCUUUAGCGGUCAAGGAUGGGCUCGCGGCCUAUCAGCUUGUUGGUGAGGUAACGGCUCACCAAGGCUUCGACGGGUAGCCGGCCUGAGAGGGCGACCGGCCACACUGGGACUGAGAUACGGCCCAGACUCCUACGGGAGGCAGCAGUGGGGAAUAUUGCACAAUGGGCGCAAGCCUGAUGCAGCAACGCCGCGUGCGGGAUGACGGCCUUCGGGUUGUAAACCGCUUUCAGUUCCGACGAAGCGCAAGUGACGGCAGGAUCAGAAGAAGGACCGGCCAACUACGUGCCAGCCGCCGCGGUAA